rnacentral:snoRNA from 1 species
AUGGAGGUUAAGAAAGUGGGGCAAAUGAAGACCAUGUUGCCUUCACUGAUACCCACCUCCCAAAUUAAGCAGCAGAAAGAACGUCCUUGGUCAAAAGGGAAAAGCCUUGGAUUUCUGCAUCUGCUAACAAAG